rnacentral:rRNA from 1 species
UACGUAGGGGGCGAGCGUUACCCGGAUUCACUGGGCGUAAAGGGGGCGUAGGUGGCCGUGUAAGUCCGGUGUGAAAAGCCACGGCUCAACCGUGGACCUGCGCUGGAAACUACAUGGCUUGAGGACGGUAGAGGGAGACGGAACUGCUGGUGUAGAGGUGAAAUCCGUAGAUAUCAGCAGGAACGCCGGUGGGGAAGGCGGUCUCCUGGGCCGUUCCUGACGCUGAGGCGCGAAAGCUAGGGGAGCAAACCGG